rnacentral:tRNA from 1 species
UGUAUUUGGGUGUUAACAUAAAAAAUUUUGAGUUUUUAGAAAAUAAAUUUUUAUUUAUUAAAUACAA